rnacentral:tRNA from 1 species
GGGGUUAGCUGGGAGAGCAUCUGCCUUACAAGCAGAGGGUCAGCGGUUCGAUCCCGUUAACUCCCA